rnacentral:lncRNA from 1 species
UGGCUCUCACUGCUCCCUUCCUCCUGCCAGACCUCGGCCUUCUCUGGGUCCCUGUGUCACAAGCUCAGCCCUCUGCCCGCUGGGAAGGGCCUGGUCUGGGCUCCGAGCUGGUCAGGUGGGCAAGGCUGCAGUCCAAGUCACCAAGCAGAGGGAGGCUGGGCUCACUGAGCAGCUGGUGUGUGCUCAGUAAUCAUCCAGUCUGCAAGGAGGAGGGGGGGCUGUCCCCCAUCCUGUGUCAGGAGAGAACAGGAAGCAGCAGCUGGCAAGGUCACAAUUGGAGCCUGCCCACAUGGAAUUCACAUCCCUCUCUGAAUCUAAAUGUGCCUGGUGCCAUGGAGAAGGCAGCAGUGCCUACCUCUCAGGAGAAUCCGUCAGAUGAAGGGGUCUGCAAGCCCAGCUCUCUGAGAGCUAAAAUCAGAUCUUUCCCAAAAACCUGAAAGCAACAACAACAAAAAAGCUAACAGAGGAAUGAACAAAAGACGACUUGGAGAGGAGUGCUUCUGAACCAGUGCCAGAUGAUGAGGAAAAAGACAUAGAAGAGCCAGUGCCACAAAACAAUGGACAUUAGACAUUCUGACCGAAGAGUUCUGAUUAUUCAAUACUGUUUUACUUCUUUUACAACAUGGACCUGUCUAUGAUAUGAGCCCUGAGACUAAAGCAAACAGUGGAAGAAGACUUGGUACCAUAUAGAGACAUUUUUAGAGAAAUGUAAAAGCAAAAAAGUGAGACAAAAAUUACAAUAUAUUUACAUAAAUUUACACCAAGUGUCCUUGCUUCUCCUGCCCCUUUUCCUCCUCCUCUACUUCUACUUCUGCCACCCCUGAGACAACAAGACCCACCCCUCCUCUUCCUCCUCCCUGUCAGCCUACUCAGUGUGAAGACCAUGAGGAUGAAGACCUUUAUGGUGAUUCACUUCCACUUAAUGAAUCUUAAAUCUAUAUUUUUCUUCCUUAUGAUUUACCUAGUAACAUUUCUUUUCUCUAGCUUACUGUAUUGUAAGAACACAGUAUAUAACACAUAUAAAACCCACAAUAUGUAUUAAUUGACUAUGUUAUCAGUAAGGCUUCUGAUCAACAGUAGGCUAUUAGUGAUUAAGUUUUCAGGGAGUCAAAAGUUAUAUUCGGAUUUUCAACUCUACAGGGGUCAGCAUCCCUAGUCCCCACAUUGUUUGAAGUUCAACUGCAA